UCUCCACUAUAGAGCCCCUACUUCCCCCAGUCCUGGAACCCUUGGAUAGGGCCCACUUUCCCAUAUGCUUCUCCCAAUCCAUAUCAAAUAAUAUUGCAUCCGCCGAUCACAACCUAACCAAUGCAACGAUUGCCACCUCAACAUGCUUCAUCUCAGACUGUGUCCAGAGACUUCAGGUGUGGAAUGACAACCCUUCAGCUUCAUUACUCGGGUUCCAGAUGCCAUCAGGAUGCUGGCCAGGCUUCCCUGGAUUGAAGACCCCACCAAUGUGUCCUGGAGUUCAGCUUCCCCAGAGACCCACCCUCCUAGGGAAAGAGAGAGGCAGACUGGGAGUAUGGACCGACCAGUCAACGCCCAUGUUCAGCUGGGAAGCAAUCACAGAAGCCAGACCUACCUUCUGCAACCCACAAUGACCCUGGGUCCAUGCUCCCAGAGGGAUAGAGAAUGGGAAAGCUAUCAGGGGAGGGGGUAGGAUAUGGAGAUUGGGUGGUGGGAAUUGUGUGGAGUUGUACCCCUCCUACCCUAUGGUUUGUUAAUUAAUCCUUUCUUAAAUAAAAAAAUUAAAAAAAAGAAAAACA